UACGUAGGCAGCAAGCGUUGUUCGGAGUUACUGGGCGUAAAGGGUGCGUAGGCGGCUUCUUAAGUUUGGUGUGAAAUCUCCCGGCUCAACUGGGAGGGUGCGCCGAAUACUGAAUGACUAGAGUGCGGGAGAGGUGAGUGGAAUUCCUGGUGUAGCGGUGAAAUGCGUAGAUAUCAGGAGGAACACCGGUGGUGUAGACGGCUCACUGGACCGUAACUGACGCUGAAACACGAAAGCGUGGGUAGCAAACAGG
rnacentral:rRNA from 1 species